rnacentral:rRNA from 1 species
AGUGAACGCUGGCGGUAGGCCUAACACAUGCAAGUCGAACGGCAGCACAGUAAGAGCUUGCUCUUACGGGUGGCGAGUGGCGGACGGGUGAGGAAUACAUCGGAAUCUACUUUUUCGUGGGGGAUAACGUAGGGAAACUUACGCUAAUACCGCAUACGACCUACGGGUGAAAGCAGGGGAUCUUCGGACCUUGCGCGAUUGAAUGAGCCGAUGUCGGAUUAGCUAGUUGGCGGGGUAAAGGCCCACCAAGGCGACGAUCCGUAGCUGGUCUGAGAGGAUGAUCAGCCACACUGGAACUGAGACACGGUCCAGACUCCUACGGGAGGCAGCAGUGGGGAAUAUUGGACAAAGGGCGCAAGCCUGAUCCAGCCAUACCGCGUGGGUGAAGAAGGCCUUCGGGUUGUAUAGCCCUUUUGUUGGGAAAGAAAGGCAGCAGGUUAAUACCCCGCUGUUCUGACGGUACCCAAAGAAUAAGCACCGGCUAACUUCGUG